AUACGUAGGGUCCGAGCGUUGUCCGGAAUUAUUGGGCGUAAAGAGCUCGUAGGCGGCCUGUCGCGUCUGCUGUGAAAGUCCGGGGCUUAACUCCGGGUGUGCAGUGGAUACGGGCAGGCUUGAGGUAGGCAGGGGAGACUGGAAUUCCUGGUGUAGCGGUGAAAUGCGCAGAUAUCAGGAGGAACACCGGUGGCGAAGGCGGGUCUCUGGGCCUUACCUGACGCUGAGGAGCGAAAGCGUGGGGAGCGAACAGGAUUAGAUACCCUGGUAGUCCACGCCGUAAACGUUGGGCGCUAGGUGUGGGGACUUUCCACGGUUUCCGUGCCGUAGCUAACGCAUUAAGCGCCCCGCCUGGGGAGUACGGCCGCAAGGCUAAA
rnacentral:rRNA from 1 species